GUCACAUGUCAGGCCACAGAUGCCCUCUGC
rnacentral:piRNA from 1 species